UACGAAGGGGGCUAGCGUUGCUCGGAAUCACUGGGCGUAAAGGGUGCGUAGGCGGUCUUUAAGUCAGGGGUGAAAUCCUGGAGCUCAACUCCAGAACUGCCUUUGAUACUGAAGAUCUUGAGUUCGGGAGAGGUGAGUGGAACUGCGAGUGUAGAGGUCGAAAUUCGUAGAUAUUCGCAAGAACACCAGUGGCGAAGGCGGCUCACUGGCCGGUACUGACGCUGAGGUGCGAAGCGUGGGAGCAAACAGG
rnacentral:rRNA from 1 species